rnacentral:rRNA from 1 species
UACGGGGGGAGCAAGCGUUGUUCGGAUUUACUGGGCGUAAAGGGCGCGUAGGCGGCCACCGCAAGUCGAUUGUGAAAUCUCCGGGCUUAACCCGGAAAGGUCAACUGAUACUGUGCGGCUAGAGUGCGGAAGGGGCAACUGGAAUUCUUGGUGUAGCGGUGAAAUGCGUAGAUAUCAGGAGGAACACCGGUGGCGAAGGCGGCUUGCUGGGCCAGUUCUGACGCUGAGGAGCGAAAGCGUGGGGAGCGAACAGG